ACAGUGGCUCGUGCCUGUAAUCCCAGCACUUUGGGAGGCCGAGGCAGAUGAAUCAUGAGAUCAGUAGAUCAAGAUCAUCUCGGCCAACAUGGUGAAACCCCAUCUCUACUAAAAAUAC